rnacentral:rRNA from 1 species
UAUCUGGUUGAUCCUGCCAGUAUUAUAUGCUGAUGUUAAAGAUUAAGCCAUGCAUGUGUAAGUAUAAAGACCAAGUAGGAUGAAACUGCGGACGGCUCAUUAUAACAGUAAUAGUUUCUUUGGUUAGUAAAAUACAAGGAUAGCUUUGUGAAUGAUAAAGAUAAUACUUGAGACGAUCCAGUUUGUAUUAGUACAAAAUGGCCAAUUCAUUCAAUGAAUUGAGAAAUGACAUUCUAAGUGAGUUAGGAUGCCACGACAAUUGUAGAACACACAGUGUUUAACAAGUAACCAAUGAGAAUUUCUGAUCUAUCAAUCAGUUGGUAGUAUCGAGGACUACCAAGAUUAUAACGGAUAACGAGGAAUUGGGGUUCGACAUCGGAGAGGGAGCUUUACAGAUGGCUACCACUUCUAAGGAAGGCAGCAGGCGCGUAAAUUACCCACUUUCGAAUUGAAGAGGUAGUGACGACACAUAACUCUAGAGUUGAGUAAAAUCAAUUCUUGAAGGAAUGAGUAGGA